GCGAGAGUGGCGGAAUUGGCAGACGCGCCGGACUUAGGAUCCGGUGCCUUUGGGCGUGAGGGUUCGAGUCCCUUCUCUCGCA
rnacentral:tRNA from 1 species